AUAAAAUCAUUUUGUCUCCCUCUACCAUAAUCAUGCCCUCAUGAUUAUGACCAAUAAGCAAAGGUUAUAACAGGCAGGUUUUGAAUCAGUAUAGAGAAAUUUCUAAUAAUGAGAACUGUCCAACAAUGUUAUUGGCUAAGCAUCUACCAUAGCCCAGGCCUGUGGAGACAAAACCAAGUAAGACAGAAUUGCUAUCUACAGCAGCUCAUAAAGUGAAAACCUCAUCCUUAAAGUGAUGAAACAAAGACUAACUGACCAUCUGUUAAGGAUCCUGAAUUAGAUAGUGAAGUAUGUGACAACUAAAGUCCACUCUAAAAUGAACAUUUUAAGAGUCUGGCACCCCUACAGAGCUGGCAGAGAACUUUAGGGCGAGAUAAAAUAUUCAUUGAGAGUCUAGAAGAUUCCAAGGAAUACAAUAUAUUUUUGAACUGUGCUCACCAAGGUCUUUUAUGGUCACGAAAUUAUGUAUGAAGUUGGCAGCAAGUCAACCUUACCUUAGGGUUUCACUGACACCUAGUGGUUAUAAUCUAAAAUGUUAAAAGACAACAUACAAUGAUCACAAAAAUGUUCGUAUUUAUAAAAAUCAUAAAUGAAUAUAGUGAUAAAAAUUCAUUCAUUUUGAAUUCUCUUUUCAAAAAGAAGUUAAAAUUGCUUAAAUGGCAUCUUAUAUCUGAAAUAUUUUUAUGCUAAAAUUUCAAACUCUUUAACACUUGAUUAUAAGCAAGCCUAUAAUGCUAUUAGCUUAUCUUUUAACUCAUAUCUUUCAGUUAUGUUAUUCUCUUGUUUAUGAAAAACAGAAGAACAUCAUCUAAAUGAUCAGUUUAUUGAAUUUUAGUAAUGUAAGUUGAGAUCAUGAAACAUACAAUCUAAUUCAAAAGAAGAAUCAUAGGUACCAAUUCAACACCAUUAGCACUACUUUCACAAUAGUGACACCCCACUUAUAACACUCUUUUUUGGGUCUCUGACUGUGAACAAGAUUGUGGAAGGUUGGUUGAGGUUAGGCCUAGGCAUUACGGUUAAGAAAUAACAGAUGCUAAUUAGUUAGUGGGGAAGUGAAGCUCAUGUUUAGGCCUUUUCAUAAUGUCUUUAUGCUAAAUAAAUUAAAUGAAGUAAACAGCCAUGGCUAUUGAACUACAGAAUACAUAAAAAUACAUUCUGUGAUUCACCUAUAAACAAAAGAGUAAAGCAGAAUGUGUCAAAUUUUCCAUAGCAGGUAAAGCAUAGAAAAAAAAUCUAGCUGAUAUAGUUGUUAUGUUUCAACAACAUAAAAUGAAAUGUUUCUAGGAUAGAAGAAAUUGGUACCAUUAACAUUUGGAUGGUUAUGGUACCAUAACAUUUUGAUAUAAUAUGCAAAAUGCUGCUUCCCCAACUAUGACCGCCAUUAUAACUUUUAAUGGAAUUAUAGGCUCCAAAUACUUUCUUCUGCAAGUUACCCACCCUUUCAUAUGUUUUUAAAAUGAAACACUAGACUGAUAAAUCAGUUCUUUUUCUUAAUUUAAAAGAAAAAAGCUUUGAGAAAGGCAAACCCCCUUCUCCAUGGUGAAGACUACAUGCUUGCAUGUGAGGACUCAAGCCCAGUGGUCUGGCUUUGAAUCUGCUUUCAAACUCCACCUUGUGUUGCUCAGAGUGACUUUGCAGGCCACGCUCAUAGCCCUCAGAUGGCUUAAAUGUAAUGAUGCCUAUGCUAGAGAAAAUUUCAUUCUACCUCUCUGAUCUAUUUUAGUGAUAUGGGAAUUUAUGUUAAGAAUGACAAUUUCUUUUUCUUUCUUUUUUUUUUUUUUGAGACGGAGUCUUGCUCUGUCACCGGGCUGGAGUGCAGCGGCGCGACCUCCUGGGUUCAAGUGAUUCUUAUGCCUCAGUCUCCCGAGUAGCUGGGAUUAUAGGCAUGCGUCACCAUACCCAGCUAAUUUUUGUAUUUUUAGUGGAGACAGGGUUUCACCAUGUUGGCCAGGAUGGCCUCGAUCUCCUGACCUCGUGAUCUGCCUGCCUUGGCCUCCCAAAGUGCUGGGAUUAUAGGCGUAAGCCACCACACCCGGCCAGGAAUGACAAUUUCAAUAUAUUUACUAUCUGUUCUUCAUUUUAUUAUUAUUUAGCUUCUGUUAACUCAGUGUUAGCUGAAACAUCAGAAAGAAAUAAAACUUAUGAGAAGGGUAUUAGCAAAUGUGUGAAAAAGUCAAGUACUGUUUAUACUCCAAAAAGUAUUUGGAGCUUAUAAUUCCUUUAAAAGUCAUACUGAGGGUCAUAGUUGGGGAUGUAGCAUUUUGCAUAUCACAUCAAACUGUUAUGAUGGUCCCAUAACCAUCUGAAUGUUAAUAGUACCCAUUUUCUUCUAUGCUGGAAGAGUUUUAUGUUCCCAAACCAUUUGCAAAAGUUGCUUACAGUUAUGAAAAGUCUUCUAGACAUAUGGAACCUAAGAAUGCUAUCUUGUAAUUUCCCAGAAAGUCCUUCAGGUACUUGAAGAAAUUCUUCAUAAACUUUGUUUCCAUUUAACAUUCUUCUCUCCAGAUAACAUAUAAUUGUUUAAUGGACUGGAUCAUUCUAAAGGAGAAUUAGAAGAUUAUGAAAGAUAAUCAACUUCAAAUCAAUUUUAAGGUUUUUUUUUUUUGAGAAGGAGUCUCACUCUGUCUUCCAGGCUGGAGUGCAGUGGCGCGAUCUCGGCUCACUGCAACCUCCGCCUCCCGUGUUCAAGCGAUUCUCCUGCCUCGGCCUCCUGAGUAGCUGGGACUACAGGUGCCCGCCACCACGCCUGACUAAUUUUUGUAUUUUUAGUAGAGACGGGGUUUCACCAUGUUGGCCAGGAUGGUCUUGAUCUCCUGACCUUGUGAUCCGCCUGCCUCGGCCUCCCAAAGUGCUGGGAUUACAGGUGCAAGCCACCGUGCCUGGCCCAAUUUUAAGGUUUCUAAAAGCUAGUUGUAGAUAUUUUAAAAUUGGUAAUAACAAUAAUAAUCAGCAAUAGCCCUAAUUAAAAAUUUUUGGUCUUCUUGCCAAAAUUAAUAUCUUAUAAAUGUUAGGAUGAUCAUAAAGACUGUUUAACAAGAUGGAACCAGCCCCAUGAUGGAUAAGAGGCGUGAUUCCAAUUUUUAAAAUGCUAUUAGUGCAAUAAUUUAUUUUAAAUUAUUCUUUGUACCUCACAAAAACAGCAAGUUAUUAGAAGAAAGUAUACCAGAUUAGAAGUAAGGAGAUUUGGAUUCCAGCUUUAGUCCUAUUCCCUACUAGGCUCGUCAUCUAUUGCAAAUCACUUUAAAUUCCUGAGCUUUGGUGCGGUGGCUCAUGCCUGUAGUCCUAGCACUUUGGGAGGCCAAGGUGGGCAGAUCACUUGAGCCCAGGAGUUGGAGACCAGCCUGGGCAACACAGCAAGAGCCCAUCUCUACAAAAAAUACAGUAACUAGCCAGACGUGGUGGUGCACACCUGUAGUCCCAGCUACUUGGAAGGCUGAGGUGAGAAGAUCACCUGAGCCUGGGAGGUCAAGGCUGCAGUGAGCUGUGAUGGUGCUGCUGCACUCCAGCCUGGGUGUCAGAGUGAGACCUUGUCUCCAAAAAAUAAAAAUAAAAAUAAGUAAAAAGAAAAAUAGGCUCUAUUUAUCUAAAGGCUCUGAAGACUUCAGUUAUUGCUUACGAUUAGGAAGGCUUUGGAGAGAAAAUAACUUGUGAUUUUAAUACUGCAGGUAAAUUCUCU
rnacentral:lncRNA from 1 species